rnacentral:rRNA from 1 species
CACAAGUAAGAUUAGUGUUAUUCAUCUUUUAUUAGGUUUAAAGCGUACCUAGACGGCAUUUUUAACUCCCAAAGAGAAAUUUAUUUGCUAGAGUUUUAUGGUGAGAGGUAAAUAUUAGGACUAUUGGUGUAAAGAUGAAAUUUUUUUGAUACUAAUAGAAUGUAUAAGGGCGAAGGCAACCCUCUAUGUAUAACUGACGU